rnacentral:lncRNA from 1 species
UUCCACUCUUGACGUGAUCCAUCACCGUGUCGAAGUAGCGCUGGCACGGGCAUUGCCCCGAUCGCAGCGUCAAGUGCUUCAUCAUCAGCAUGCCAAUCCCAAAGUGAUUGCAGUAGCCAAGGUAGUCCGCGAUCACGGACACCCGCCCCCACUUCCUCGUCGCCAGAAGUAACUCGUUAAGAAUGUCCGCGGUGUCGGUCUCCAACCCCACCGUGCGCUCCACCUUGUGAAGGAUAGUCACAGGGAACCGGAACCCCGCCGCUUCGAUGCUCGCGUCCACUCCUCCCGGAACCAGCUCAAAGAUCCUCUUUGGAACGUCCUUGACGGAGUUUCGAUCGAUGACUGUGAUCCCCAGCUUCUUCUCCGCCACCUCCAGCCUCUCCUUGACGAAAUCUAUCCCGACCACCUUGGAAGCUCCCAUGAUCUGGCACCACCUCGCGGCGCAAAGCCCGAUCGGUCCCAGCCCCCAGAUAGCCACGGUUUCACCAGCUUUCACUCCCCCGGCCAGCAUCACGGCGUGGUAGGACGUGCACAGAACGUCCGAGAGAUAGAGCGCCUUCUCGUCCGGGACCUCGUCCGGGAUCUUGUAGCAGUUCACGUCCGCGAAGGGGACUCGGACAAACUCGGCCUGCGAGCCAGGAACUCCACCGAGCAAGUUUCCAUAGCCGAAGAUCCCAGAGUGCCUGUGACCGUAGACGAACUCGCUGAGCUUCGAGUCGUUGGUGGUGUCGCAGCCUGUGAACUCACCGCGCUUGCAGUAGUCGCACUCGCCACAGGCAAUAUCGAAGGCGAUGACGACUCGGUCCCCGGCCUUGAACUUGGUCACCGCUUCACCCACCUCGGACACCACACCGCAGCCUUCGUGUCCCAUGAUCUGGCCUUUGGAGGUGUCGGGAACCUCUCCGGCGUAGACGUGAGAGUCGGAGCCGGAGCAAAUGGUGCAAGCAGUGACUUUGACGAUCACGUCCUUCGGAUGCGUGAUGACCGGCUUCGGUACCUUGUCCAACGAAAUUGUUUUCUUUCCCUGCCAUGUAAUCGCUCGCAUCACCUCCGUGUCCGAUGUUGCUGGCCUCGUCGAGCCUUGAGCCACCGGGACCUUCCCAACUUUCUCAUCUAGAGCCUGCGCGGCGGCGUUCAUCAUAGCGAGUGAGAAGCUUUGAGAAAACCAAAGAGCUAGCGAGCUUUCUUCCCUUUCCGGAGAAACCCGAGAAGAUUUUCGAUCGAUCGCCCACUCGAGUUUUCACCAGUUGGAGAACUUCGGCUUGGUUGACACCUGUAGCUUCAACUAGGAACAGGUGGCAGCCACUAUCCAUGCAUGCAAGUAUAUGCGUGGACAAAUCUAGAACAAGGAAAUCGGAAACCAGAGAAACAAGAAAACUUGCCUGAGAUCAGUCAUUGCUUCGCACGUACUUAGAGUUAAGCCGCGGUUCCUGAUUUCUUUUCCUUCCCUGGAAAACUUCAAGUGAGCUUUCCUGCGCCCGUUCACGACUCUCCAGACAGUACUGAGCCUCCACGUCUUCGUUGGUUCAAUGUUGUGGUUCUUCAUCCGGUGAAGGAAGUCGGUUGGCAUCCUCUUUCUAGAAACGUAGACGUUUGUAGACCUUCACGUCACCGCAGGAGCCGUAGUUUCUCGGCCGAGUGUAUGUCGCCCCUCUUGGAGCAAAGCCACCAAAAGAGCUUCCGGUAGAAAGUUGUAGGGAAGGAAGCAACUAUUGCCGAUGUGCUCUGGUCCAUCAUCUCAUCCAGAUGUAUGGAAUUUGAGGAAUCCGCUCGAACUUUUGCAGCACUUCCUCCAGCACCUAAUAAACCAAAGGACUUGAUUGCGGAGAUGUAGCUGGAGUAGCAACUUGUUCGCUCUUGAGCAGCGUCCACAUCCUGUCCACCAUCUUCCGCUUUCCCAAGAGCGCAUAGGAAACGGAUUAUCAGGUUGAGUAGCCGUGUGUCUGCCUCUUCGAAGUUCGUUCUCGUGGCAACAGCGGUAAGAAAAGCUGUGGUUGCCUCAAACUUCAAACACUCUGGCAUGAUUUUGAAACAAAUCUGAGUCGGCAGCUUGUUUGCCUAGCACCACGGCCUCGUUUGAUUCACAAGAGUUUCUUUUUUGCAUCGCAGAUUCACAUUCACUAUACAGCAAGAGAAGUGUUAACGUAAAACAUGAAAGCAAAAGAAGAAGAAAAUGAAAUGCUUAUCGUUCGAGAGAGAGAGAAGCGAAAGAAGGAAAAUAAAAAGCUUAUCGUUCUCUGUGCUCUUGGGCUUGGCUUACCAGUUUGAGCUGCCUUGAUCGCCGCAUUCGUAGCGGCAGCUCCAUCCACCUCCAAAUUCACAUAGAGCACAGCCCGACAAGAGCGCCAUAGCUAGCUUCGCCCUAGGAAUCUAUAUAACCCCAGUUACACUUGGAAAGUUUACUUUAAAACUAACUUAAUCACAGAAGCUAUAAGUAUCUCCCUUCUCACAUUUCUAUAAAGACUUUGAUGUAACCAUCCUCUUUGUUGAAGAGCUUGCGGUACGCUUCCGGCGCGUCCUCCAGCUUGAUCCUGUGAGAAACCAUGAAGCUCGGAUCAAACUUUCCACUCUUGACGUGAUCCAUCACCGUGUCGAAGUAGCGCUGGCACGGGCACUGCCCCCCUCGCAGCGUCAAGUGCUUCAUCAUCACCAUCCCGAUCCCAAAGUGAUUGCAGUAGCCAAGGUAGUCCGCGAUCACGGACACCCGCCCCCACUUCCUCGUCGCCAGAAGCAACUCGUUGAGAAUGUCCGCGGUGUCGGUCUCCAACCCCACCGUGCGCUCCACCUUGUGAAGGAUAGUCACA